UCCGGUUGCGAGCAGCCAGAAGAGCGGAGGGAUUGCUCCCGGCUCCGCCAGACCGCCUGAGCGGGCCGGACACGCGCGGUGUCGGCGGUGACUCGCGGGGUGAUGUGUCAGAGCCGCCACCUCCUGCGCCGGGCGCGGCGCCAGCGUGAGGGCACUGCCUCGCUCGCUCGCUCGCUCGGGAGGGAGGGAGGGCGCUGCCGUCGUGGGACCCGCGCGGCAGCGGCGGCGGCUGGCGUCGCCCGUGUGUCGCGAAGCGCUCGGUCGCAGGCGGUCUCCCGGCAGCGCUCGCGUGUUGGCAUCCGCGUGUGGUUUGCUGUUCACCUCCAGGCGAGCAGAAAGGAUGAACUCUUCCAGUGGCCGUUCCCCCCAGCUCUCGGGGAUGAUUCAGCACAUCCAGAAAUGCAAGUGGUUAGUGAAACCAUCUGUGUGGCCGCAGGCGCUUGCUCGGCAGAGGACGCUGGGUCUGUGUUGCUAUGGCUAUAGCGUUAUAGCCCCUUUUGCCGUGCACUUUUUGGGGGGCGUGAGAAGCGUCCGUGGUGCAGCUGUGGCGCGAGGGCGACCUGGGGGCCCUUCCCCAGGAGCGGGGCUGGAGCACGCGUGCCGAGGAGAGGCCGGGCACGCUGCCCGGGUGGACGGGGCCCGGCCGAGCCCUCCCGAGGAAGCUGGGGGAGGCCCCACACAGAUUUUACUUGCCUGGGAACACAGUAACAUCUGCUCCUCUGGGUUGCGUGCAAGAUGGAUUUCCUCACGGGAGAAAAGGGUGGUUUUUCUUUUUUCUUUUUUUUUGUUUUGUUUGUUUGUUUCUCAUAAGUGUUGCUUAGCUCCGAAAGACAGCUAUAAAAACGGUACGUUUGCCUCUGCGUAGGUUAUCGGCUAAGCAGUUCCAGCUCCGACCUGCCCAUCACGCCAGCAGAUGCAGGCGGCUGCAGCUGGCAGCGCGGCGGCCGCCGGCUCCACGGGUGGGCGGCCGUGACGUCCACGGCCGGCCGGGCUCGGCGCAGCGUUGACUGCUGCUCUGUGCCGGCGGCCUCGUUCCCCUGCUCAGUGGAGGCCUGACGCUUUUUUCAGACUUCUUCUACAUCUUUGCGGAGGGCAUUUAUAUAAAUGUCCCUCUUCAGGCAUCACACAACCCUUUAAUGAACUUGCACAGACCUUUGCGCGCAUGCAAGCUGUGACCGCGUGCAUUGGCUGUUUCCUGGCAUAUCCAUCUCUGUUCGACCUGGGGCAGUGCCCUGCGAUCCCUCUGCCUGCUCCGGUCUGAGGUAAUGCGUAACAGGCUGCUAGACCAUUUAAAAAUGAUCUGCUCUACCCAUUUGCAGCUCAGACAUGAAAACCGCUGAGAGUUGAAGGUCAAGCAGUGUAGGUUCCAGCUGGAAUGAGCAGGCUAACUUUAUAUAUAUAUAUAUAUAUAUAUAUAUAACUCUGAAAUAUGCAUUCAAAGGUUACGCCUGCAAUCGCCUAGGCACAGCUGCCUAUUACCCGUGCCCUUGGAUGGAAAAAAAACACAAGGUAAUACAGGUACAGAGCAGCCAGCUUCAUCCUGCUGUGGCCAGUCUGCUUCGGUGCAAGCCGUUUUGGGUAACAAAAUCCAUAAAGUGGAGUUUCGCCAGUGCGCAACUUAGGAUUCGGGUCACGACCGUCCGGCUGGAUGGGUGGUGGCCACCAGGUGACUGCACGGCUGCUGCCCUCACCACGUGCACACAAUGCUCUGCUGGCUUUUCCUAGGUGCUCUCCUGAAAGUCUCAACAUGCCCAUAAAUAAUGCCUGGAAAACAGAAGUGCACAAGGGAUAGGAAGAAAACCAGCAAGAAAGCACAGCUGUAACCAUAGCAAAGAUGCUCAAAGAUGCUGCUUUUUCUCCUCUCGGUAAUAUUUAAAACAAAAGUGUUUGGUCCAGUUGAUCUAUUCAGAGGUGCAAAAAAUCAUAUCGAUUUUUUUUUUCUUUUUUUUUUUUUUUUCUUGAACAACUAGUACUCGUAGAGAAGAGAACCAUUCUUAGUGGUUAUCUUAUUCAAAGGAAUGAUUUGAACUGAUGGUAACUCUGAACAGAGUUUAAUGCCCUUCAAGUCUGGGGUGCAUUGACAACUGAGCCAAAUACUUGGAAAAUUAGCAGCAGCGUUCCCUUACGCAAAUCUUUCUGCUUUUCCUGAAAUACAGAGUAAUUACACUCAUCUGGUGGAUGUGUCGGUUCAUCAACUUCAUAAGCUAAUGGUUCUCAGUUUGCAAAUUGGUAUUUAUAUGUAAAUUAACAUUUCCCUAUUUGUUAUUAAAAUAAAGGGUAUUAUCUCUAUA